rnacentral:rRNA from 1 species
CCUACGGGGGACAGCAGUAGGGAAUAUUGCUCAAUGGGGGAAACCCUGAAGCAGCAACGCCGCGUGGAGGAUGAAGGUUUUCGGAUUGUAAACUCCUUUUGUUAGAGAAGAUAAUGACGGUAUCUAACGAAUAAGCACCGGCUAACUCCGUGCCAGCAGCCGCGGUAAUACGGAGGGUGCAAGCGUUACUCGGAAUCACUGGGCGUAAAGAGCGCGUAGGCGGGAUAGCAAGUCAGAUGUGAAAUCCUAUGGCUUAACCAUAGAACUGCAUUUGAAACUGUUAUUCUAGAGUAUGGGAGAGGUAGGUGGAAUUCUUGGUGUAGGGGUAAAAUGCGUAGAGAUCAAGAGGAAUACUCAUGGCGAAGGCGACCUGCUAGAACAUAACUGACGCUGAUGCGCGAAAGCGUGGGGAGCAAACAGGAUUAGAUACCCGAGUAGUC